CGUUGGAUUAGCUAGUUGGUAGGGUAACGGCCCACCAAGGCGACGAUCCAUAGCCGGCCUGAGAGGGUGACCGGCCACAUUGGGACUGAGACACGGCCCAGACUCCUACGGGAGGCAGCAGUGGGGAAUAUUGCACAAUGGGGGAAACCCUGAUGCAGCGACGCCGCGUGAAGGAAGAAGUAUCUCGGUAUGUAAAGUUCUAUCAGCAGGGAAGAUAGUGACGGUACCUGACUAAGAAGCCCCGGCUAAAUACGUGCCAGCAGCCGCGGUAAUACGUAGGGGGCAAGCGUUAUCCGGAUUUACUGGGUGUAAAGGGAGCGUAGACGGUGUGGCAAGUCUGAUGUGAAAGGCAUGGGCUCAACCUGUGGACUGCAUUGGAAACUGUCAUACUUGAGUGUCGGAGGGGUAAGCGGAAUUCCUAGUGUAGCGGUGAAAUGCGUAGAUAUUAGGAGGAACACCAGUGGCGAAGGCGGCUUACUGGACGAUAACUGACGUUGAGGCUCGAAAGUGUGGGUAGCAAACAGAAGUAGAUACCCUGGUAGUCCACACCGUAAACGAUGAUUACUAGGUGUUGGAGGAUUGACCCCUUCAGUGCCGCAGUUAACACAAUAAGUAAUCCACCUGGGGAGUACGACCGCAAGGUUGAAACUCAAAGGAAUUGACGGGGGCCCGCACAAGCAGUGGAGUAUGUGGUUUAAUUCGACGCAACGCGAAGAACCUUACCAAGUCUUGACAUCCCUUGACGAUGCUGGAAACAGUAUUUCUCUUCGGAGCAAGGAGACAGGUGGUGCAUGGUUGUCGUCAGCUCGUGUCGUGAGAUGUUGGGUUAAGUCCCGCAACGAGCGCAAUCCUUAUGGUCAGUUACUAUGCAAGAGGACUCUGGCCAGUACUGCCGUUGACAAAUCGGAGGAAGGUGGGGAUUGACGUCAAAUCAUCAUGCCCUUUAUGACUUGGGCUACACACGUAAUACAAUGGCGUUAAACAAGGAGAAGCAAGACCGAGAGGUGGAGCAAAACUCAGAAACAAUGUCCCAGUUAGGCACGCAGGAAGCAAUUCGCAAGCAAGUAGUAGGAAUUGCUAGUAAUGGUGGAUCAGCAUGACGCGGUGAAUAAGUUCUCGGCCCGAGCACUCACCGCCCGUCA
rnacentral:rRNA from 1 species